ACCGCUGUAGCCCAACUGAUAGUGGCAUUGGCAUUGCAGGUGCCGAAGGUUGCAGGUUCAAUUCCUGCCUGCAGUA